CCCACCAACAGUCUGCACUAAUUGACUGCUACUGCCGCCAUCUCCAGGAACCCCUGUUCCACUACCUCCCAGGAAGAUAGGCUGACACAAAGCAUGUGGUCUCCCCCGGGCACGUUUGGCUCCAGAAUUUAAACCUAUGCCACCACGCUGACUCCAACCAUGCUACCACCUUGCUGGCUCAACUGCUGCCUCACGGGAAACCUGCAAUUCUCUUCUCCUGAUGAUGAUGAAGCCCCUUCUGCACCCGGCUUCCAAUUGCGAUCGGCUUCAUCAUCAUCAUCAACAAGUGUCUGCAUGUCACUGAUGUCCUCCUCAGGUUACUCAACAGGUAUCUGCUUCAGGACCCUUAACCCUCAUCACUACUUGCCUGCCUAGUGGAGGAAACGGCGGUUGUCUCCUCCAAUUGUUGGCUGGGCAGUAGCUGCUGACUGUUCUCUAUUGAAUAUUGGAGCUGAACCCACAGUGUAAGAUACUUCUGUAGGGGAAGGAAAAGCAUAGGACAGAGGCAAUGGGAGGACAGGGACUGCUCCCGGGCCAUGCCAACUGAGGGUUGUGUCUGAGGAAACCACCGACUGUUGACUGGGGGUAUCAGAUGUCACUUGUGAUGAAGUGGAUGACCGUGUUAACCAAUCGAUGAUGGCAGAUGGGUUUCUGGUGGAGACACAACCGCUAGCUGAUACCAAGAGCUCGGGCCUCUUGCUGCGACUCCUGCUGCCACUCGCCCCUAGUCUGCUGCUACCUCUGCCUGACGAAUUUAGGCCUCUACCACUCCUCUGUGCAUGUCCUGGCACUUCUCUGCCUGACAUGCGCGAAUAUGAGGGGAGUACAAUAUGCCUCACUUCGCUUAAAACAGUAUUUAUCUAGAACAUAAAUUAUAUCUGGAUAUCAAGAGCGCUGGAAUGGAUUGAAUGGAGUACACAUCUCUAGCUGCAGCAAAACCAAAUCAGCACACAUCCCCGUUGAGCCUGCCUGGUGUGUGUAGCCCGCCGAUGUGGUCAACCAUCUGAAGAAGACAUAAGUAACACCCUUACACCGUGGCAAAUUUUUCCUCUCAUGUGACAGUAUGUAUUGCUGGUAAUGGACUAUGACGUUGUCACUGACCUACAUCCUGGAGUACAGUCUUGUCAAGCAAGUCUCUUUCCAACGCUGUCAUGCAACAAACAAUUAAUAAUGAACAAGUUAUGAAAUCCCAUUGAUCAUCAAGACAAUACAGUAAGUGGGAAUGAAACUUGGACAUAUGAUACAUUUUUUAAUAAAAC